CGCCGGAGGAACCGUAAACCCAAACUCUUGUUUUUAACCGUGUAACUGUCUGAGAAAAUACUUUAAAUAAGUCAAAACUUUCAACAACGGAUCUCUUGGUUCUGGCAUCGAUGAAGAACGCAGCGAAAUGCGAUAAGUAAUGUGAAUUGCAGAAUUCAGUGAAUCAUCGAGUCUUUGAACGCACCUUGCGCCCUCUGGUAUUCCGGAGGGCAUGCCUGUUUGAGUGUCAUGAAACUCUCAACCCCUCGGGUUUUACGACCUGUUGGGUUGGAUUUGGGCGUUGCCGCUUUGUUGCCGGCUCGCCUCAAAAGUCUUAGUGGGAAUAAUCGGACCCAUAGCUUGGCGUAAUAAGUUUCGCUGGGCUCGUGGCCGACGACCGUCCGCUGACAACGACCCAUACUCUUUCCAUCUGACCUCGGAUCAGGUA
rnacentral:rRNA from 1 species